UUUCGUGUGCUUUUUCUUUUCCUUUUCUUUUCUUUUUUUUUCCUUUUUUUUUUUUUUUUUUGACCUUGUGGUUGUUGUUGGAUCAGAGGUAAUAUC
rnacentral:ribozyme from 14 species